rnacentral:rRNA from 1 species
GGGUUGUGAGGUUAAGCGACUAAGCGUACACGGUGGAUGCCCUGGCAGUCAGAGGCGAUGAAGGACGUGCUAAUCUGCGAAAAGCGUCGGUAAGGUGAUAUGAACCGUUACAGCCGGCGAUGUCCGAAUGGGGAAACCCAGUGCAAUUCGUUGCACUAUCGUUAACUGAAUACAUAGGUUAACGAGGCGAACCGGGGGAACUGAAACAUCUAAGUACCCCGAGGAAAAGAAAUCAACCGAGAUUCCCCCAGUAGCGGCGAGCGAACGGGGAGCAGCCCAGAGUCUGAAUCAGCUUGUGUGUUAGUGGAACGGUCUGGAAAGUCCGACGGUACAGGGUGAUAGUCCCGUACACCAAAAUGCACAGGCUGUGAACUCGAAGAGUAGGGCGGGACACGUGGUAUCCUGUCUGAAUAUGGGGGGACCAUCCUCCAAGGCUAAAUACUCCUGACUGACCGAUAGUGAACCAGUACCGUGAGGGAAAGGCGAAAAGAACCCCGGCGAGGGGAGUGAAAAAGAACCUGAAACCGUGUACGUACAAGCAGUGGGAGCACCUUCGGGUGUGACUGCGUACCUUUUGUAUAAUGGGUCAGCGACUUAUAUUCUGUAGCAAGGUUAACCGUAUAGGGGAGCCGCAGGGAAACCGAGUCUUAACUGGGCGUUAAGUUGCAGGGUAUAGACCCGAAACCCGGUGAUCUAGCCAUGGGCAGGUUGAAGGUUGGGUAACACUAACUGGAGGACCGAACCGACUAAUGUUGAAAAAUUAGCGGAUGACUUGUGGCUGGGGGUGAAAGGCCAAUCAAACCGGGAGAUAGCUGGUUCUCCCCGAAAGCUAUUUAGGUAGCGCCUCGUGAACUCAUCUUCGGGGGUAGAGCACUGUUUCGGCUAGGGGGUCAUCCCGACUUACCAACCCGAUGCAAACUACGAAUACCGAAGAAUGUUAUCACGGGAGACACACGGCGGGUGCUAACGUCCGUCGUGAAGAGGGAAACAACCCAGACCGCCAGCUAAGGUCCCAAAGUCAUGGUUAAGUGGGAAACGAUGUGGGAAGGCACAGACAGCCAGGAUGUUGGCUUAGAAGCAGCCAUCAUUUAAAGAAAGCGUAAUAGCUCACUGGUCGAGUCGGCCUGCGCGGAAGAUGUAACGGGGCUAAACCAUGCACCGAAGCUGCGGCAGCGACACUAUGUGUUGUUGGGUAGGGGAGCGUUCUGUAAGCCUGCGAAGGUGUGCUGUGAGGCAUGCUGGAGGUAUCAGAAGUGCGAAUGCUGACAUAAGUAACGAUAAAGCGGGUGAAAAGCCCGCUCGCCGGAAGACCAAGGGUUCCUGUCCAACGUUAAUCGGGGCAGGGUGAGUCGACCCCUAAGGCGAGGCCGAAAGGCGUAGUCGAUGGGAAACAGGUUAAUAUUCCUGUACUUGGUGUUACUGCGAAGGGGGGACGGAGAAGGCUAUGUUAGCCGGGCGACGGUUGUCCCGGUUUAAGCAUGUAGGCUGGUUGUCCAGGCAAAUCCGGAUAAUCAAGGCUGAGGUGUGAUGACGAGGCACUACGGUGCUGAAGUAACAAAUGCCCUGCUUCCAGGAAAAGCCUCUAAGCAUCAGGUAACAUCAAAUCGUACCCCAAACCGACACAGGUGGUCAGGUAGAGAAUACCAAGGCGCUUGAGAGAACUCGGGUGAAGGAACUAGGCAAAAUGGUGCCGUAACUUCGGGAGAAGGCACGCUGGUGUGUAGGUGAAGUCCCUGCGGAUGGAGCUGAGACCAGUCGAAGAUACCAGCUGGCUGCAACUGUUUAUUAAAAACACAGCACUGUGCAAACACGAAAGUGGACGUAUACGGUGUGACGCCUGCCCGGUGCCGGAAGGUUAAUUGAUGGGGUUAUCCGUAAGGAGAAGCUCUUGAUCGAAGCCCCGGUAAACGGCGGCCGUAACUAUAACGGUCCUAAGGUAGCGAAAUUCCUUGUCGGGUAAGUUCCGACCUGCACGAAUGGCGUAAUGAUGGCCAGGCUGUCUCCACCCGAGACUCAGUGAAAUUGAACUCGCUGUGAAGAUGCAGUGUACCCGCGGCAAGACGGAAAGACCCCGUGAACCUUUACUAUAGCUUGACACUGAACAUUGAGCCUUGAUGUGUAGGAUAGGUGGGAGGCUUUGAAGCGUGGACGCCAGUCUGCGUGGAGCCAACCUUGAAAUACCACCCUUUAAUGUUUGAUGUUCUAACGUUGGCCCCUUACCGGGGUUGCGGACAGUGUCUGGUGGGUAGUUUGACUGGGGCGGUCUCCUCCCAAAGCGUAACGGAGGAGCACGAAGGUUAGCUAAUCCUGGUCGGACAUCAGGAGGUUAGUGCAAUGGCAUAAGCUAGCUUGACUGCGAGCGUGACGGCGCGAGCAGGUGCGAAAGCAGGUCAUAGUGAUCCGGUGGUUCUGAAUGGAAGGGCCAUCGCUCAACGGAUAAAAGGUACUCCGGGGAUAACAGGCUGAUACCGCCCAAGAGUUCAUAUCGACGGCGGUGUUUGGCACCUCGAUGUCGGCUCAUCACAUCCUGGGGCUGAAGUAGGUCCCAAGGGUAUGGCUGUUCGCCAUUUAAAGUGGUACGCGAGCUGGGUUUAGAACGUCGUGAGACAGUUCGGUCCCUAUCUGCCGUGGGCGCUGGAGAAUUGAGGGGGGCUGCUCCUAGUACGAGAGGACCGGAGUGGACGCAUCACUGGUGUUCGGGUUGUCAUGCCAAUGGCACUGCCCGGUAGCUAAAUGCGGAAGAGAUAAGUGCUGAAAGCAUCUAAGCACGAAACUUGCCCCGAGAUGAGUUCUCCCUGAGACUUUAAGUCUCCUGAAGGAACGUUAAAGACGAUGACGUUGAUAGGCCGGGUGUGUAAGCGCAGCGAUGCGUUGAGCUAACCGGUACAACUGUCCCUUA